UCCUCCAUUGGGGACUCCAAAUCAGAACGACAAAGAGAUUAUUAGCAUGGCCCCGGCGCAAGGAUGACAUAAAAAUUCGUGCACAGCAUUUUAUAUGG
ensembl:snRNA Rnu6-1162 RNA, U6 small nuclear 1162